GGAGAAGUGGCCGAGCUGGCUGAAGGCGCACGCCUGCUAAGCGUGUAACGGGCGUAAAACUCGUUCGAGAGUUCAAAUCUCUCCUUCUCCGCCA
rnacentral:tRNA from 1 species